GGUUAAGUUAGAAAGGGCGCACGGUGGAUGCCUUGGCACUAGGAGCCGAAGAAGGACGGGACUAACACCGAUAUGCUUUGGGGAGCUGUACGUAAGCGUUGAUCCAGAGAUUUCCGAAUGGGGGAACCCACUAUCUUUAGUCGGAUAGUAUCCUUACGUGAAUACAUAGCGUGAGGAAGGCAGACCCAGGGAACUGAAACAUCUAAGUACCUGGAGGAAGAGAAAGAAAAAUCGAUUUCCUGAGUAGCGGCGAGCGAAACGGAAAGAGCCCAAACCAAGAAGCUUGCUUCUUGGGGUUGUAGGACACUCUAUACGGAGUUACAAAAGAAAGUUAUAAAUGAAGCGGUCUGGAAAGGCCCGCCAAAGACGGUAACAGCCCGGUAGUUGAAAUAGCUUUCCCUCCAGAGUGGAUCCUGAGUACGGCGGAACACGUGAAAUUCCGUCGGAAUCCGGGAGGACCAUCUCCCAAGGCUAAAUACUCCCU
rnacentral:rRNA from 1 species